AUACGUAGGUGGCAAGCGUUGUCCGGAAUUAUUGGGCGUAAAGCGCGCGCAGGUGGUUCCUUAAGUCUGAUGUGAAAGCCCCCGGCUCAACCGGGGAGGGUCAUUGGAAACUGGGGAACUUGAGUGCAGAAGAGGAUAGUGGAAUUCCAAGUGUAGCGGUGAAAUGCGUAGAGAUUUGGAGGAACACCAGUGGCGAAGGCGACUGUCUGGUCUGUAACUGACACUGAGGCGCGAAAGCGUGGGGAGCAAACAGGAUUAGAUACCCUGGUAGUCCACGCCGUAAACGAUGAGUGCUAAGUGUUGGGGGGUUUCCGCCCCUCAGUGCUGCGGCUAACGCAUUAAGCACUCCGCCUGGGGAGUACGGUCGCAAGACUGAAACUCAAAUGAAUUGACGGGG
rnacentral:rRNA from 1 species